rnacentral:rRNA from 1 species
UACGAAGGGGGCUAGCGUUGUUCGGAUUUACUGGGCGUAAAGCGCACGUAGGCGGAUCGUUAAGUCGGGGGUGAAAUCCUGGAGCUCAACUCCAGAACUGCCUUCGAUACUGGCGAUCUAGAGUCCGGAAGAGGUGAGUGGAACUGCGAGUGUAGAGGUGAAAUUCGUAGAUAUUCGCAAGAACACCAGUGGCGAAGGCGGCUCACUGGCCCGGUACUGACGCUGAGGUGCGAAAGCCAGGGGAGCAAACGGG